rnacentral:lncRNA from 1 species
CCCCCUGCUAUCUAUGAAGCUGAAGAUCAUAUUGAUGACACCUACCGUGGGUCAGUUGCUGUUGUUCUCCUCAUCAAGUAGGUGCCAAGAUGGCUCUUCAAGAACUUGAAUCUGUCGAUCCCUAACAUACUUUCUGAAAUAGCCUAUUUAUAUUAGGGCUUCAAUCUUGUCCUUGAGCUGGAGUCAUUCCUCGAUAUCAUGAUCGUGGUCAU